rnacentral:rRNA from 1 species
GACAGAGGAUGCAAGCGUUAUCCGGAAUGAUUGGGCGUAAAGCGUCUGUAGGUGGCUUUUCAAGUCCGCCGUCAAAUCCCAGGGCUCAACCCUGGACAGGCGGUGGAAACUACCAAGCUGGAGUACGGUAGGGGCAGAGGGAAUUUCCAGUGGAGCGGUGAAAUGCGUAGAUCUUGGAAAGACCACCAAUGGCGAAGGCACUCUACUGGGCCAUACCUGACACUAAGAGACGAAAGCUAGGGGAGCAAAUGGG